UAAUCCGCAGAAGAGCUGAUUUCUUAUUGAGAAAUGCUGUAUCGGGUGUCCUUUCUGUCCCAAUUUCUCCACUGCAAUCCACAAGAACCUCUUCAAGCCUGGUACUUGUGCGAUGCAUACCAGGUCCCAUGAUCACUUCACAAUCAGGAAAGAUCUCAACAAGCUUGUUAUAAACAUCGACUGGUAAAGUUGCAGUAACGAAAAGAUAUUGUGUGACAACUGGUGAAGAAUUCAUCAAGCUGUUUAAUGCAACCUCAAAGUCC
rnacentral:misc_RNA from 1 species